CGAGUACUCACAAAAAAAAAAAAUUCAGAGAGAAUACAGAAAUUGAAGCAACGACGAUGUGAACCGGUUUUUCACUAGAGAAUAGAGCGGAGAUGGCAGCAACUUCUGGCGAUAAAUGACAAAAAUGACCACAAACUAUUGAAACCUGGUUCGGAAAAGAAAAAUCACCAAGUUCGGUGUAUUACUGGCGAAGUAAAGCUAGCACGUACCAACACCGGUGACAAUAGAGUAACCGGCAUUGACGGAGAUUUGUGGAGGAUGGCAGCUGCUUCCGAUGAAGAAAGAAACAUAUAAUGUCCGAUGUUGUUGACCAAAACAUUGCUUCUUCUGUCUCUCUCUUCUCACCAAACAUCCGACGAGUCUCAAGUAGCGAGCCCCCUAGCGAGUGCUAGGGGCGGUGUUUCAACAUUUUUAGUGAGCCUGGCAAGCUCCGAUGGCGAGGCCACUCCUCUUAGUUUCGUUUUCUUCGUUAAUUAGGGAUAGCAGUGUGGAUGGGUUCCGGUUGGUGUUUCUCAAGGUUGUCUGGGAACUAGAACACCAGAUAUGUUCUUCCAGGGCUAUCUGGAUGUGAAGAAUAGAUGCUUGAUGUCUGAAGGGGAUCAAGGGAUGAGCAGUUGCAUAUAGUGUUCCGAGGUAUAUUUCGGCAGUUUGUGCACUUGAAGAUGUUUAUGCAAAUUGUGUUUGUUUAAAUAAGUAUUGAAGAGGAUAAUGAAAGAAGAAACAUGCAUGUAAAUAAAAAGAAGAAUCAUCUGAACAAAAAAAAAAGGUUAUAUAUGUGUAUGAAUAUAAUAUAUCUUUCUUCUAUUCCUUUUAGGACCUAUUUAAGCACUUAUCUUAUGCUAAUUUGCAUAUUGCUUCCUCUUUUAUACCCUUUUUCGUUCAUAUAUUUGUUUGAUUGAUUCUCAUUUAUUUGUAACAUCCCGGAAUAUCAAGAGUAAAGUUGAAGGGCUAAAAGAGUAAUUUAGGAAGGGGAACUCGGCGAGUCCAUGGGUGGACUCGGCGAGUAGGGUCACGACUUUGGUCGCGUGUUAAGUGGCCGACUCGGCGAGUCAGCGGAUGGACUCGGCGAGUAGGCGCUGAGUGGAGAAAAGCCUAUUUCUCGGGGUUGAGCCUUAUAUAAAGAACAUAACAUCCUUUCCCCCAGCCUCUCUACUCUCUCUUAAGUCCAGAAACCCUAGUUGUCAUGUGUGAGAGAAUCAAAGUGCAUUUGGAGGCUUGAAGAAGUGAUUGUUGAGGAAAUCUUGAAGGUUAGGAGGCUUGGAGCAAGGGGCUUUGCUUAGAUUCAGGUUUCAUUGCUGUUGGGGCUUCCUUUUGAGGUAUUAUCUCGUUCUUGGGUUGUUAUUCAUAUGGAUGCAUCAUUUUGGGGUUUAUGGGGAAACAUAUCUUGUGAUGUUUUGAGUUUGGAGGUUAGAUCUGAGGUUGCUACCUCAGAUCUGGAAUGGAGAAGGAUUAGAGUGCAUGAAAGCCCCUGUCCUUGAGUGAUUAGUGAAGCCAUCAUGUCCCAAACCCUAGCCCUAAAGUGUAAAAUGCCUAGAUCUCUUUGGAUUCACGUAAAGUUUGCCACUUUACGUGAUGGAUGGGUUGUAGGAGGGCAGAUCUACGUUUUGGAUCAAUUGCAUGGCCUGGUAUGCUUCUGUAUGGAAUGAGAUCGAGAGGCACUCGGCGAGUCACAAAGGUGAACUCGGCGAGUUGGAAGAACAACUCGGCGAGUAGGUUGAAGAUAGCCUUGAACUCGACGAGUCUGUUCUUGGACUCGGCGAGUCUUGUCGAGAAGUCCCAUUCUUUUCUGGUUGAGCCUAGAAUCGGUGAGUCAAGGGAUGACUCGGUGAGUUGUGUGCGAGUGGACACUGAGUUGUUGGACUCGGCGAGUCUCGGGGUGACUCGGCGAGUUGGGUCGCGGAUUGAAGGAAAUGCUGGGCAUGGGGACUCGACGAGUCAUCGGGUUGACUCGGCGAGUAGAGUCAGUCAGGGGUUGACUUUGACUUUGACCAAGGGUUGACUAGUUGUCUUCCAGGGGUAUUUUGGUAAUUAUUGAGUUCAGUGCCUUGGUGUUGUUCAAUGAAAAAGUUCGUGUCGGAGUUUGGAGCAGCGGGAUCUUAUCUUUUCAGCCGGCAGUUUCGAGGUGAGUUAUCCUCACUAUAUCAACAGGGUCUAAGGCACCAAGGUCGGCCCUUUAUCGGAUUGAGAUCCGGGUAUUUGUUGUAUGUUAUUUCUUUGAUAUGUUGCAUCCUGGUAGCUAGGAUGGUAUAUGUUAGAGACCUGGUUGAGAUCGGUAUCCUGAGAUGUAGGGUGAUGCUAUGCUAGUGACCGGUUAGGUCGGUAUCCUAGUUAGGAUGAUGAUAUGUUAUGUGAUCUGUUGAUCGGUUUGUUGACUGUGAAUUGUUAUAUGAUUGUAUGUUUAUGUGCACAUGGUUGUUUGGACUGGAGUUGGGUUGAGGCGGGUUCUGCUUUGUGCUGUAGGCCAAGAUACCUAGGGCGGACCGGUUGUCCCGAAGGCCCAACGAGCGGUCCAGAUAGGCUGUAGGCCCCAAGAGGGCGGACCAGACGUGCCGAGGCUUGGAGAGUGGACCAGGCCGACUGAAGGCCCGGUGUGGGCGGAUCAGUCAUAAUGUAGACUCAGAGAGUGGACCAAGUGGAUUGAAGGCCCGGUGCGGCGGACCAAUCACACUGAAGACUCGAUGUAUGUGGCUAGAUUCGGAGAGUGGACCACGUGGAUUGAAGGUCUGGUGCGGGCGGACCGAUCACACUGCAAACUUGAUGUAUGUGGCUAGAUUCGGAGAGUAGACCAGGUGGAUUGAAGGCCCGGUGCAGGCGGACCAAUCACACUGCAGACUCGAGGUAUAUGGCUAGACUCGGAGGGACCAGGUGGACUGUUGGCCGGUGCGGCGGACCAGUCACACAGUAGACCCGAAGUGCAUGACUGUUCUGUGAUCGGAUAUGUUAUGGCAUGUUAUGCGUGUAUGGUAUAUGUGGUUGGUAUUUUGGGGAUAUCUCACUAAGCUUUCGGGCUUACAGUUGUGGUUUUAUG